UACUCCCAAAAAACACUUGUGUUACUGAGAACGAAGAAGGAGAGAAAGAUCGAGAGAUCAAAAACUGAAACCCAAAACAUUAGACACCAAUCAAGAUGAAGAAGAGCCGUACAGUCUCUUCCAAUAUCCCCAAACUCUCUCUCUCUCUUCUCACGAACCCUAAUCUUUUUCUUGAAGAAUAUUCAAUCCCUUCAAUCCAGGCUACAGAUUUGAAUCGAUCUUUGUGUGUGUAUGGCGAACGGUAUGGAUUCGGAGGAGUUCGUGUUGCUAUCUUGGGUUCGGACGGGUCACAAGCGCGAGUUCACCUUCGCAAUGAAGGCGCAAUCAGAGAUCUGCGGGUCCUUGGGUCGGACCCGGUCCAGGAAGACCCGGAAUGAGGCUGUGGCGACCAAUAGAAGCAAGAAAUUGAAGAAGUCGGAUCCGAAGGACGCCAAGAAUGACGAAGUUAUGGAUUAGAAGGCGAAGGAUUUGGUCGAUUCGAUGAGCGAGGAGGAAGCAAAAAGCGACGUGGUGGACCUAACGAGCGACGACGAGCCGAAGGGGCACUUGGAGAAUCGGAAUUGGUCGGAGAAGGGGGUUCCAAGAAGGACAAGUCAAUGCUGGUUUUCGACGAGGAAUUGAAGGGUGGAGUGGUUGUAAUGGUUUAGAAUCCUGUGAAGGAAGAGGAAUUAGUGUGUGAAAGCAAGCCGAAUGUGAAUGAAGAGAUGAAGACGGAGCCGGGAGUCGAGAAAACGAAUGAGGAUUUGGUUAACGAUGAGAAGAUUGAGGGGGUUAGCAUAAUGUUUUUUUUUUUUUUUUUUUUGGUU